rnacentral:rRNA from 1 species
AUGCAAAUGGCAGCCACCGAGCAGAGCAAGACGGCGACCAGGACGUUCGGAUGGCUGUACGUGGCGCGGUGGGCGGUGGCGUCCGUGGUGACCGUGCUGGCCGUGGCGGUGAUCGUUCGGGCCGUGGUGGUGAUGCUCCACCCCGAGAAGCUGCAGCUGAAGCUCGCCGGCGGCCGCGUGGCAGUCGACUGGAUCCCGUCGAUGCCGCCGCCGGGCAAUGUCGUGGCGCUGAACUUCGUCCUCAGGGCCAACAACCCCAGCGGGCGCGCCUCCGUCGAGUACACCAACGUCACCGUCCGGCUCACGGACGUCACGAGCGCGUCGUCGCCGUCGCCGACGAAGAUCGCCGAGUUCGACCUGUCGCAGUCCAUCCCCGUGCUGCAGCGGACGGCGCACGAGGCGAUGGUGAGGGUGACGAUGACGCCGGGCGAGGACGUUCCGAUGCGGUACGUGCGGGCGCUCUUCGAGGGGCGCAGCGUCGACGGCGUGGAGAUGAUGCUGCGCGGGGUGUUCCACAGCCACGUAGCGAUGGCCAGCGGGGACUACGUCACCACCAGCGACCUGGCCACGUACUACUGCUGGCCGGUGACCAUCGCCGUCGGUGGCUCGUCCUCCUCGUCGUCGCCGGACUACGCCAGCGUCGUCGUCACCGACGCGCCGUGCCUGGACAAGUCGGAGGCCCCGGCCAUCGUGUGA